AUGUCUGGACUACUCUGAGGCUAUCUGUUUUAGCUCUUCUCCUCACUCGUAAUGAAGUCAGGGAGUCCUAAAUAUCCAAAAUGGUGCGCCUGAAACUACUCAAGGGAUGGACCAUGACGAAGGGAGAGCACAGAGAUUCAUCCUUUGCAGUCCUGGAAUUGGCCUAAUUGCUCUUCUCUGGACUUUCUCUGGUGCUGUGAUGUCUUUUUUGGAUUAUGGAGAUCAAAACUGAACAC